GAUGAACGCUGGCGGCGUGCCUAAUACAUGCAAGUCGAGCGAACAGACGAGGAGCUUGCUCCUCUGACGUUAGCGGCGGACGGGUGAGUAACACGUGGAUAACCUACCUAUAAGACUGGGAUAACUUCGGGAAACCGGAGCUAAUACCGGAUAAUAUAUUGAACCGCAUGGUUCAAUAGUGAAAGACGGUUUUGCUGUCACUUAUAGAUGGAUCCGCGCCGCAUUAGCUAGUUGGUAAGGUAACGGCUUACCAAGGCAACGAUGCGUAGCCGACGUGAGAGGGGGAUCGGCCACACGGGAGCUGAAACACGGUCCAGACGCCUACGGGAGGCAGCAGUAGGGAAUCUGCCGCAAUAGGCGAAAGCCUGACGGAGCAACGCCGCGUGAGUGAUGAAGGUCUUCGGAUCGUAAAACUCUGUUAUUGGGGAAGAACAAAUGUGUAAGUAACUAUGCACGUCUUGACGGUACCUAAUCAGAAAGCCACGGCUAACUACGUG
rnacentral:rRNA from 1 species